GAUGAACGCUGGCGGCGUGCCUAAUACAUGCAAGUCGAGCGAACAGACGAGGAGCUUGCUCCUCUGACGUUAGCGGCGGACGGGUGAGUAACACGUGGAUAACCUACCUAUAAGACUGGGAUAACUUCGGGAAACCGGAGCUAAUACCGGAUAAUAUAUUGAACCGCAUGGUUCAAUAGUGAAAGACGGUUUUGCUGUCACUUAUAGAUGGAUCCGCGCCGCAUUAGCUAGUUGGUAAGGUAACGGCUUACCAAGGCAACGAUGCCUAGCCGGCCUGAGAGGGUGAUCGGCCACACUGGAACUGAGACACGGUCCAGACUCCUACGGGAGGCAGCAGUAGGGAAUCUUCCGCAAUGGGCGAAAGCCUGACGGAGCAACGCCGCGUGAGUGAUGAAGGUCUUCGGAUCGUAAAACUCUGUUAUUAGGGAAGAACAAAUGUGUAAGUAACUAUGCACGUCUUGACGGUACCUAAUCAGAAAGCCACGGCUAACUACGUG
rnacentral:rRNA from 1 species